AAAAGGGGAACCCCUUUCGUCUUGCUUUUGGAGGUUUUAAGGAUUUGUAUUGUUUCUUCUUUUUACUAGCCUUUUGUUCUUUAUUUUUUUCAAAAUGGGUUGUGAUUUGCUGAUCAUACCUUUAGGUUGUGCAAGAAGGUGAUGGUGAUGGUGGGUUGUGAUUGCAUUUGAAUAUCGGUGUGGACUUGGAAUGCAGUUAAUCGCGUGGAUGGUGAAAUUAGAUUAAAGAAAGAAGGGAUGAUUGUGAGAACGGAGCGGGAUGGAUUGGUCUGGUAAAAAGGUAAAUGGUUUCUACUCUGUCUUUUUAAGCGCUUCUUGAUAAUGUGUAAAAGAAUUCGAAUUAGGGGGAUUCAAUACCCUUUUGUAUGUUUGUAUUUUAGUAACUAAUUAGCUUUAUGUAAUCCAUUUGUGUUAGGAGAUGCUAGCUAGCUGUGAAGGUUAAAAUUAUGAACCAGAGAGAUUUAGAGGACGAUCCCUGUAAUCAUGGGACCGGGAGGUUGGGUUGAGUUGUGCUGGUUAAUUUGGCUUAUGUAUACUGGAAUUGUUUGAUGAAAUUUCAGGUUAGGUUACUCCUUUUCUUUCUUUCUUUCUUUCUUCUGUUUUUGUUUUCCUAAUAAGCCAAAUUUCUGUGUUUUUAUUUUUCUAACAAGCUACUGAACUUCAAAGUCCACCAGGCUUCAAAAUGGGUAACCUUCCAGUGAAGUACUUGGGUGUUCCUUUUAUCACUGGUAGACUUAAAUCUGCAGAUUACCAGGUGCUGGUUGACAAGAUCACACAAAGAUUUCAGCACUGACGUCAAAACUUCUCUCUUUCGCCGAGAUACUUCAAGUGAACUCCACUCUUAUUUUUAGCCUUCAAACAUACUGGUGUUGCAUGUUUAUUCUCCCAGACCAGUUAUCAAAAUUAUUGAAAGAAAGUUUAUGUAGUGCAUGUCUUUGAAAUGGUAAUGAUGAAUUUUCUGUUGGGAUUGUGUUGCUCUUCCUAAUAAGAAAUAGGGAUUGGCUAUUAGAAAGAUCAAAUAAUGGAGUUAUGCUUGUGUAAUGGGAUUAGAAAGUUUAUAUAGUGUUUGGAACAUGUUUCUUCAAGCAGGUUCUCUAUGGGCAGCUUGGUGUCAAUGGCAACGUUUUGAAGGAGAGAAGCAUCUGGAGCCUCAAAACUCCUAAUGACAGUACACAAGGAACUGGAGGAAAUUAUUGAAGAUAAGGAACCUUGUAUGGACGCAAUUUCAAGAACUGCCAAGCACUCGUAGAAGAGUAAGCGCCAUCUAGACUGAGCUUCCAAAUCACAGUUUCGUUUACCAGUAGAAUAAACUUUGGAGGAGUGAUCCAGUAGUCCACAAGCUCCAAGUGCACUAGAUUACCAUGCGCACGUCCACAUCGUAGCAAACCUCAUAAGACUCUCUCUCCUCACGUCGGUGAUUCUCCAUUCUUCUAAAGAGUUAAAUGUCCCAACUCCGACCAAUGUAAGUCGCUGGAACAUCACAAAAGAUACUCCUCUCCUCCUCGCGAGCAAACCCCAGGUGGUCUUCAUCUCCUUCUCCACCUUAUCUUUAUGGAAAAAGUCCAUAAUUACCUUCAGCCACCCAAAGCUUUAGACCAUCGAAUAUCUCUCUUCAACCAUCAAUGACCAACAUCACCACUACCAUAGGAAUCCUCUCACCACAAUCUACCAGAAGCUAACCUUGUUUGCCCGAAAUAUCACCGUAAAAUUUAACCCCUCCAAUAGUGGCCAUGUGUGAGCUACACGCUCCACCAAGGGUAUUUUUAUAAUUUAUACAAGGGUAGUAUUGAGGACUUGUAGGGGUAUUCAAGGGUAUUUUUUUUUGUAUUUUGUAAAAUACCCGAAAUAAAUAUAAAAAAAAUGACAAUAUGGGUUCAACACCCAGUUUAUCCCAUCGUCGUGCGUGAGUUUAAAGCUCAAUUCUCAAAUAUGGGUCAUGCCCAUUUUUUAGCGAUUCCAACGUAAUCUUCCUUUUUAGGGAGAAACAUUAUUCUUCGACAUGUCUUCUUUUUUUUAUAAAAAAAAUAGGACCAAUAUCAAAAUUUUAAAAACAAAUAUGGAUUAUGCCUUUUUUGUUUUUGCAACUUAGACAUAACUCUUUUUUUUAGGGUUAAACAUCAAUAUUUUGAAAAGUUUUUUUAUUUUUAGAGACUGAUGUUAUUUUUUGACAUGUCUCUUAUUUUUAGGGACCGACGUUAACUCUAAAAAAUAAAUUGCAAAUAAGCUAAGAAUAUUAUAACAUUUGAAUAAAAUUAGAGAAAACACAAGUAAGGGUAACUUUUCACUUGAAAGAAUGUUUGAAGGGUGGUGUUUAUCUUUUCUUAAUCAUAAUUAACCCAACACGGGACCAAUAUCUAAUUUAGAAUUUCUAGUUCCCUCAAAUUGCUAGAUGACGACUCUAAUAAAAUCUUUAUUUUCCCUAAUUUUUUUUUCAAUAUCGAAAAAAAUAUAGGUGUCCCGCGAUAUCAUGUAUCGACAAAAAUGAUAUUCAAAAUUUCAGAAUCUUUUAGGUAGAGUCUCAUAUAGGGAGAUGUUGCCAAUAUUUUGUUAAAAAUAGAUAUAUGCACUAAUACAAAACACACAUAAACCAUAGAUUACGAAUUGAAUUGAAUAUGCUUUAUUGUUUAUUUUCUUGUUUUUUAUAUUUUAGUUAUAUUGUUUAAAUGCCGAGAAAAAAGUUCAUUGUUGAGAAGGAGUGCUUCUACUUCUUCAAGCAAUAAUGUUGCUAAACCUUAGGUGCAUUUAGGUGCCGAUCAUGAAGAGACAUCUACUGUACAUGCUACCAACUCAGGCUCGUCAAAUACAUGUCGUAAAUCUGACAUCUCGUCUGGAAGAGAACCUUUUUCUGGCAAGCUUAUAUCAUAAUGGAAGCCAAAUCACAACAUCUAAGAAAAAACUUUUUCUCGCAUAUAACAUUAAUUAAUGAAUUGAUUAAGUAUUUAUAUAGUUUUUCAUUAAUUAAUUGCUUUUUAGGUUCACAGAUAUAGAAGUUGCUCGCACGAUAACUUUGACAAUGAAAAUGUCGAUAUAAAUGCCUUGGUUUCAAUGGAAUUAGCUUAGAGAGCAUCCUGAAUGAAUGUCUAUAUACAAGGCUUAGUGAGGGUAAUUUAAAAUUAGUUGAUAAAUAAUUAAUAGUUUUAGUUAACACAUACACACACACACACUCACAUAUAUUAAAAUUUAGAAACUAAUUAUUUUACGAAAAUGAUUAUAAUUUUUUUUGUUGGAACAAGGCAAACUCUAUGGUGAUCAGGCGAGUCUGGAAAAACCGUGUCAACUUUUUUUCUUUUUGUAAAAUUGUUAUAUUUUUGUAAAAUGUCAAUUAUAAUUCUUUUUGUAAAAUUGUUAUAUUUUUUCUUUAUAUUUUUUUGUUUUAAUUUUUUUUAACUAGGUUUUGCAAUUAUAUGACGCCCACACCUAUGCAAAGAGAAUGAUCGAGUCAAAUGGUUUUGAGGUGUGGAAAAAUUUUAGACCUCCCCAUGUUGAUUGCCUAUGAUUAGACCGCCAUUGAUCCAUUGAUAAUAUUUAUCGAUGGAUUAGCUUGGCUGAUAAAAAAAUGGUUUGAAAAUUUAUUUUUUAGCGUGAAUAUUCUGUCAGUAUUUCUAUCAGUAAGUUACUUUACCGACUGAAUUACUAAUAGAACUAAAAUCUCUAGCGAGAACCUCUCCUGAUGACAAGUUUUCAUCUAUAAAUCCGUCACUAAUUUAUAUUUUAUCAAUGAUGAUAAAUUUUCUAAUUGUGAACAUUCUUUUUUUAUGUUAUUAUUUUUUUCAGUUGACCUGUGGCAUAACGCUAGCCUUCAAUCUAGAUGGAGUACAAAUAGUGUGGAGGGAUGCAGCUGUAUAUAAAAAAAAUGGUUAGCUCGUUAGUUGUUAGUUAGGAGAUUCCUUCGGUUAUAUUAAUUCGUGUCACUCGUUCAUGAGAGAAGUUGGUUAAAGGCAGCCUUGGAGCUCACUGUAUAAAUUUCUCGUUAUUCCCUCUUCUUUCUCUUUCUCUUCCUUUUCUCUGAAUUGCUGCUACCUAGCUAGUUAGGAUUACUUCGCCAUCACUGUCAAGUCAAGCCCAGGCGAAAUUGAUUCUCCUCAGGAAAAUUAAUCUCUUCGCCUCGAUAAAGUCCUCUCUGUUAAUCUUGGUAAGUUUUUAGUUUCUUAUUCUUUUUUUUUUUUAGUUUCUUAUUCUUAAUUAUAUACCUUCUUGGUUGAUCUUGUCCUCGUUUCUUGGACCUUUUUUUGUGUAAUUUUCACUUCUUCUUCGAACCAUUCAACAACAUGCAUCUUUCUUCUAAUUCUAACUGGUUUCUCCUUUCAUUUCUUUAAUUUAUUUUACAAAUGAUAUUAUAAUUUGAUUAACGAUUUUCCUCUUAUAUUAUUCGAAGUGUGGUAUGAUUUGUUGGUUUCUUUUAAGUUACUUUGAUUUUAAAGAUUUGAUCGUUUUCACCUUUCCAGACAAUGACCAAAGACGAUAGACGAAAACGCUGCAAGGAGGUGAAUAAAGAUAUGAUUAGUGACUUGCCUAAUGUGAUUAUUGGUCAUAUACUCUCGUUUCUUCCUACUAAAGAUGCUCUGUGUACCUGCAUUUUGUCCAAAAGUUGGAGAGAACUCUGGAGAUCACUUUCAAAUUUUGAUUUUGAUGAUCGCACAUGGAAAAGUAAGAUCAUCUUUGGGAAUUUCAUGGAUAGGUUUUGUUACCUUCACAACUCUCGUGAAAACUCUAUUACAAAAUUUCGUCUCAGAGUAAAUGGAAGCUAUCCUUCUUCCCGUAUGAGUGCGUGGAUUUCUGCUGCAAUUAAGGACAAUCUUGAGGAGCUUAAACUUUGGAUAUACACAGCGGAUCAUGUUCCGUUGCCUCGGAGAAUUUUUAGCUGUGAGAAGUUAGUGAUUUUGGACCUUGGUUAUCGAAUUGAUACUGAUCUUCUUGGUGUUGGUGUACACUUUCCAUGUCUCAAGGUCCUUCAUCUUCAAGAACUCCUGAUGCUUGAUGAUCAUGCUUCCAUAGAGAAACUAUUAGCAGGUUCCCCAGUCCUUGAAGAACUGAAAAUCGAACAUGAAGAUUGUGAAUCCAGGAACGUUUUACGUAUAUGCUCAAGCUCACUUAAACGCUUGAUCAUAAGAUUCCCAUUCGUUGCUUAUGACGAGAACGAUCCUGGUUGCAGAGAACUUACUCUUGAUACCCCAAACCUCGAGCUUCUUAAACUAACUGAUCUCGUGUCCGAGAAGUUAAACAUGCUGCAGAUUCCGUACUCACUAGUCGAGGCAGCUCUCAGUGUUGCUUAUAAACAUGUCUUCACCAUACAAGUAGAUGAUUAUAUUGACAUGGCGGUUCAGCUUUUGAGACCGAUCAUGACGAUUGUCAAGAUCUUACGCUUGUGUGAUACUACUAUGAGGGUAAGUUUCAUCCUCAUUUUGCUGUUGUGCUUAAUUUCUCCAUGGUCUGAUCAUUCCCUCCCUCACAUAGACAUCCCCUUUACAGACGUUAUCAGACGCAGUUCAUAAGAAGUUGCCUUGUGUCGGCAAUCUUCCUGAUUUUCAGAAUUUGACUCGUUUGGAGAUUGAAGCUAGUGGAAAUGAUCGUUGGCUGGUUUUGCAUGAGAUACUCAAAUGCUCUCCUAAGUUGGAAGUCUUCAUCUUAUACAAGGACUCGGUUAGUUCCUAUAAUAUGCUCUCCUAAGCUAUGUUUUCUCAAGUAAGAUCGGUAUUGUUCUUCUUACUAACUUUUUUAUCAUUCAGACAGAGAAAACUCCCAGAUGGCGAAAUCCUGAAUUCGUGCCCCGGUGCUUAAGGUCAUCCCUUAAGGUGAUCGAGUAUGUAGGUUUUGAAAGCGAGUUGGGGGAGAUAGAAAUGGCUGAAUAUCUCAUAAAGAAUGCGUUGGUCUUGGAGAAGAUGACUAUCGAAUAUGGAUGGAAAAUGAUUCAUGAUUUUAAAGAGCGUGUUGCCGAGAGGUUGACAGAGUGUCGUCGGGGCUCCACAGCAUGUCGAAUUGUAUUUUCACCUUGAGGAUUCUUUCUUUCUUUCUUUUCUUCCUUUUUUUUUCCGGCAUCCUUUCCGGUUAGAGAUUGCUGAACGAGGUGGAGAGAACGUAAACCUAUGAUGUUCAUAUAUGGAUGUUUUCUUUUUUAUCUCUGCUUCUAUGCAUGAUCGAUCAGGUUAAUUAAAAAUUUUCUGAACUUCAGGGAUUAAAUUCAACCUUUACAUAACUUUUCUUAACAUGCAGAGACAUAACAACGAAAAAUCAAGUGUUAGGAUCUCAAAAGCAAGAAAAAUAUAAUUUAUUAAAGCAACAAUAAUUAAGAUAAAGGUUUCUUAAAAGUUUCAAUCAUUUGAAACAAGUAAGAAAAAUAUAUCUAUUAAAUCUAAAUUUUAUUUCUUUAUUAUUUUAACGAAAUUUGUUUUCUAAUCGGAAACAUAAUUUUUUAAAUAAAAACUUAUAAAGAUCUCAAAAGCAAGUUUUAAUAAAAAAAACAAUAUUAAAACAAUAUGUUUUUAUUUUAUAUGUAAUUGAAAGCAAAAAAAAUAAUUAAUGUGAUAAAUUAAAUCAUGUAAAAAUUUUAUUAAAAAGAGCAAAAAACUUAUUUUGAUUGAAUAUUCAUGAGCACGUUUUUAUUUCAUUUUGUUUUUGCAUAUUAGGUAUAUAAUAAUUAAAAAAAAUUGUUUGCAUUAAACUUAUAAUUUCAUUUAAAAACUAUUUAAAAUUUUACCAAUAAUAUAAUUAUCAUGCUAAGUAUUUUAUUUAUGGUGCUUCUCAAUCAAACUUUUUUUUUAAAAAAAAAAAACUUAUAUCGCUGGGUCCUGGUGGCAAUAGGGCCCAACUUUAUUGGGUCCUAUUGGGAAGUUGGGCCCACCGCUGUUGGGAAGCUAGCCUACUAUCAUUGGGUCUGGCGGCAAAGCCAUAUCCAAUAAACUUGGGUGCGAAUCCAAUUGUCCACCGCUGUGGGGUCCUGGUGACAGUAAGACCCAACUUUCUUAGGUCGUGCUGCUGGCAGUUAGGCCCACCGCUGCUAGGUAGCCAGACCCACUAUCAUUGAGUCUAGCGGUAGAGCCAUAACCAAUAAACUUGGGCCUUGGUAAAAGGACCAAGCAACCGAGUACCCAUCUAGGCCCACCGCUACUAGGCAGCAGGGCCCAACAUCAUUGGGUCAUGCUUGGCAGAAGGACAUAACAGUGGUGGUAUUGCUGGUAGGCAGGGCCCAACGCUACCAUGGGUCUGGCUACACAGCCAAAUCCAAUCUCAGUAUAAUUUUUUUUAAAAAAAACAUUUAAAAAAACAAUACAAAAGGAUUAAAAAGAAUAUUAAUUUGAAGUAAAGAGAAAAAAUGAAAAAAAAAAAAAUUUCUUGGGUGUCCCUUCUCAGCCAGACACAAUCUCAAUAUAUUUUUUAAAAUAUAUAUAUUUAAAAAAUAAUACAAAAACAUAAAAAAAAAUUAUUUUGAAGUACAGAAAAAAACUUAAAAAUUAUCAAAUUUUUACAAAGAAUUUUUGAAACGCAAAAUCAAACAUGAUUUAAUUAGAAAAUUCAACCCAACCUAAAACAAAAAAAAAUAUCAUCACCUAAUUUUUGGUCAAUAUUAAAAAAAUCUCAUCAAUUUAUUUUAAAAAAUAAAUUUAAAUAAAAGAAAUCUAAUUUUAGUGCCUAUUGGAGUGCCACUUCCAAGCAUUUUUGGUUCCCUGUAACCCCCGUAAGCCAGCCUAUUCUAGGAGAAAUGCACAUCAUGUUUAGGAAGCAAUCAAGUAGGCAAGCAAAUCAGGAUAUCCCUCUUCGGUUUCGAAGCUUUUCUUUCCCUUGUAAUAUUGAUAAUUAUGAAUCUCUCUCUUUAUGAGAAAAAAGGCCUUAUAGGUUUGUUUAUAGCCUGUUCAAUUGCUAAAAUGAAUUGCUACUGAGCUUGUGUUUCUGCUGCCUGCUGCAUUGUCAAGUGCUCUUAGUGGACCAGGACCCAAUCAUCCUGGUCUGGCAACGCACAUUGGAUCUUGCUGGAAGGUCGAGCCUAUUAUUAUUGGGUCUUGCUACUUAGCAUGGCCCAAGCUACUAGGCCUGGUUGCAAAAGGACUCAACAUCGAAGCAGGGCUCAAUUAAGUGUUGGGUCCUGCUUCGAGUAGAGCCCAACACUGUUGGGUCAUGCUGAUAGGUAGAGUCCAACACAGCCAUGGAUCUCGCUACAUAACCAGAUCUAAUCUCAGUAUAAUUUUUUUAAAAUAAUAUUUUAAAAAAUAAUAUUCAUUCGAAGUAAAAAAUAAAUUUCUUGGGUCUCGCCAGUCACACACAAUCUCAAUAUAUUUUAUUUAAAAAAUAAUACAAAAACAUCAAAAAAAAAUAUUGUUUUGAAAUAAAGAAAAAAAUCAAAAAUUUUAAAAUUUCUUGGCUCAACAUAUUUUUUUAAAAUAAUACAAAAACAUAAAAAAAAUAUUAAUUUGAAGUAAAGAAAAAAACUUAAAAAUUGUCAAAUUUUUUUCAAAUAAUUUUUGAAACGCAAAAUCAAACAUGAUUUAAUUAGGAAAUUCAACCCAAUCUAAAACGGAAAAAAAAAAUUAUCAUCACCCAACUUUUGUACAAUAUAAAAAAAUCUUGUCAAUUUAUUUUAAAAAAUAAAUUUAAAUCAGAGAAGGCAAUGCCCAAAAAAUUUAAUUGGGUAUAGUUGGUGGGUCUGGCUGCACUUUUUGAAAGCGAUUUGGGUCUGGCUUGACAGCUCUUGGCAAAGAAGGCAACCUCGCCAGCCGCAAUUCUUGACCAAAAACAUAGCAGGGAACACCCCUUAGGAUGCUACAGUGUUGCCCACAGUGCAAAGACUCUAUUGUUAUAGUGUCGUCCAUAGUGCAAUGUGUCUGUGUCCACAAUAAAUCUAUAGUGCAAUCCACAUUGAAAUCACUCUAUGUAUAUAGUAAUUCAUUGAUCCCUCUAUUGAUCUCUUUUAGUUUUUUUAUUAAGAGCCCGUUUGGCUACGCGUUAGAGGUUGCGUUUUUUCAAAAACGCAGGAAGCAAACGUUUGGUUAACAAAAAAAAGUUGCUUACUAUGCAUGGUCCCACAGCCAAAUCGCAUGCGAAACGCUGGAAGAUGAAAAACAGAAAAAUACUGCUUCGGGAAAUUCAACCAUGAUACACUGUUCACUGAACAGUGGACCAUGUGAAGAAUUGCACUGUUCACGUGAAAUUCUUUUUUUUUUUUCAGUGUGUUAAUUUUUUUAACAUUUUUUUAAUAAAAACACUAGUAUAAAGUGAAUUAAAUUCACUCGCACUGUAAUAUCAAUUUUAUACCUGAUAAUAGUUUAUCUACGCUAAAAAAAUUAUGAAAACUGUAGUUCUUAUCGGAUGAAUUUUGUAUGUAAUGAAAUUAUAAAUAGUUUAAUGGAAUAAUAAAAAGUAUUUUUUAUUUCAUGAUGUAAUAGGAGUAAUUAAUUCUACAAUAUUUAAAUUUAAAACCAUUAAUAUUAAUAUAUAUUUUUAAAUUAUUUUUUAACCUCAAUUUCAAAAGCAUUCUUAACCAAACACAUUAAACCACUUUUUCUUCAACCACAAUUUCAAACACAGUUUUAACCAAACACUUAUUUUUUCAAACCAACCUCAACUAAAAGUACUUUUUAUAAAACAAAUUUUUUCAAACCACAACCACAACAGCUACUGCAAUACCAAACACACUCUAAACAGUGCAAUCCACAGUAAAAACACUUACAAUCCACAGUACUUCACUCUACAAUAGAAAUCCCACAUGUUUUAGAGUUUUGUUAAUUAAUUAGAUACUUAUCUACAUUUUUCUGUGGGCUAGUUUUUAUUUUUCAACAAAAAAUUUUAUAUACUAGCUUUUUCAACAUAUUUUUAUAGUUAAAAAAUUCUAAACAAAAACAUAUAUACAUAUAAUCAAAUAAAUCAAUAAUUAUAUAUGCUAAUAAAUGGGAAAAAAGCCAUAAAAGAUAACUAAAAAUAAAAUUAAAAAAAUCAAGAGACAUAUAGAUUAAGAUAUUUAAUCUUGCAAGAUGUGAUAUUUACUCGACUAUACUUGCUAAAUUUAUUUAUUAAAAUAAGUUUUUUAUUCAAUAAAAUAAUAAUAAUAGAAAUAGAUACAUAUAUUAAAUUGAUUGAAUAAAUAAAAGUAAAAAACAUACUAUGCAAGACUACAUAUAUUAUAAAUAUCAUUUAGAAAAAAAACUUAUUUUAAAAAAUAAAAUUCAUCCACGCAAAAAAUUUUAAAAAAAUUAUAAAUAAAUCAAAAAAAUCUAUUCAAAAAUUAAAUCCAUAACUGAUUGAAAGUCUGGUAUGGUCAAGGGACACAUUAUAAAAUAUAUUAUUAGUUAUAUUUUUUUUGAAAAAAAAAGUUUGAGGAGGGUAAUUCUGUAGAAUUGAUGAAGAGAUUGUAACAUAGCUUAGCAAAAACCAUAUCAUAAACUUGUAAUACUUAAUACAUUAAUAAUCACAAAUAAGUAAGAUUUCAGAUUAAUAUGAUAAAUUAAUAAUUUAUUAAAUUUAUAAGAUAAUACAUUUAAUAUAUAUAUAUAUAUAUAUGUGUGUGUGUGUGUGUGUUUUUCAUGGUUGUUAGUUGUUAGCUAGGAGAUUCCUUCAGUUAUAUUAACACGUGUCACUCGUUCAUGAGAGAGGUUCGUUGGAGGCAGCCUUGGAGCUCACUGUAUAAAUCCUCCUGAUCCCCUCCUCUCUCUUUCUCUUCCUUCUCUCUGAAUUGCUGUCGAUAGCUGGCUAGGAUUACAUCGCCAUCACAGUCAAGUCAAGCCCAGGCCAAACUGCACUAUCACCAUUGAUUCUCCUCAGAAAAACUAAUAUCUUUGCCCCAAUAAAGUCCUCUCUGUUAAUCCUGGUUAGUGUUUAGUUUCUUUUUCUUAAUUACAUACCUUCUUGGUUGAUCUUGUCCUCCUUUCUUGGACUUUUUUUUUUUUUGUAAUUUUCUCUUUUUCUUCGAACCAUUCAACAACAUGCAUCUUUCUUCUAAUUCUAACUGGUUUCUCCUUUCAUUUCUUUAAUUUAUUUUACAAAUGAUAUUAUAAUUUGAUUAACGAUUUUCCUCUUAUAUUAUUCCAAGUGUGGUAUGAUUUGUUGGUUUCUUUUAAGUUACUUUGAUUUUAAAGAUUUGAUCUUUUUCACCUUUCCAGACAAUGGCCAAAGACGAUAAACGAAAACGCUGCGAGGAGGUGAAUAAAGAUAUGAUUAGUAGCUUGCCUAAUGUGAUAAUUGGUCAUAUACUCUCGUUUCUUCCUACUAAAGAUGCUCUGUGUACCUGCAUUUUGUCCAAAAGUUGGAGAGAACUCUGGAGAUCACUUCCCAAUUUUGAUUUUGAUGAUCGCACAUCGAAAAGUAAGAUCAUCUUUGGGAAUUUCAUGGAUAGGUUCUUUUAUGUUCAUAACUCACGUGAAAACUCCAUUACAAAAUUUCGUCUCCGCGUACAUGGAAACUAUCCUUCUUCCCGUUUAAGUCAAUGGAUUGAUGCAGCGAUUAAGGACAAUAUUGAGGAGCUUAUACUUUGGAUACCCCUACUUACUCAUGUUCCGUUGCCUCGGAGAGUUUUUAGUUGUGAGAAAUUAGUAGUUUUGAACCUUAGUUAUGGAAUUGCUAUUGAUCUUCUUGGUGUUGGUGUGCGCUUUUCAUGUCUCAAGGUCCUUCAUCUUGAAGGACUCCCGAUGCUUGACGAUCUUGCUUCCAUAGAGAAACUAUUAGCAGGUUCCCCAGUCCUUGAAGAACUGAAAAUCGAACAUGAAUAUUGUCAAUCCAGGAACGCUUUACGUGUAUGCUCAAGCUCACUGAAACGCUUGACCAUAAGAUUCACGCGUAUUCGUUAUUACAGGAAGGAUCCUGGUUGCAGAGCACUCACUCUUGAUACCCCAAACCUAGAGCUUCUUAUACUAACUGAUUUCGUGUCCGAGGAGUUAAACAUGCAGCAACUUCCGUGCUCACUAGUCGAGGCAUCCAUCAGUGUUGCUUUUACACAUUUCUUCAUCAUACAACUAGAUAGUUAUAUUGACAUGGCGGUUCAGUUCUUGAGACUGAUCAUGCCUAUUGUCAGGAUCUUACGCUUGUGUGGGACUACUAUGAGGGUAAGUUUUUUCCUCAUUUCACUGUUGUGCUUAAAUUUUCAGUGGUCUGAUGACGCACCCCCUCACAUGUUUACCCCUAUACAGAUUUUAUCAAACGCGGUUCGUAAGAAGUUGCCUUGCUUCGAAGAUCUGCCUAAUUUUCAGAACUUGACUCGUUUGGAGAUUGAAGCUAGUGGAGAUUGUCGUUGGAUGGUUUUGCAUGAGAUACUCAAAUGCUCUGUUAAGCUGGAAGUCUUCAUCUUAUACAAGGACAAGGUUAGUUCCUACAAGAUAAAUACGUGCGCAAUGUUUUCUGAAAGCAUGAUCGGUAUUGUUCUUCUUCUUACUGGCUUUAACCGUUCAGGCUAAGGAUACUCCCAAAUGGCGAAGUCUUGUAUGCCUUAAUUCUUCGGCAAUUCCCAAAUGGCGAAAUCCUGAAUUCGCGCCACGGUGCAUGAGGUCAAGCCUUAAAGUGAUUGAGUGUGUAGAUUUUGAAGGGGAUUUCUCGGAGAUAGAAAUGGCGGAAUAUUUCAUAAAGAAUGCACUGGUCUUGGAGAAGAUGGCUAUCAGAUUUGGAUGGGGCAUGACUCAUAAUUCAAAAGAACGUGUUGCCAAGAGGCUGUCAGGGUGUCAAAUAGGCUCCGAAGCAUGUCGAAUUACAUUUUCAUCACCUUGAUUUAGUUUUUUUUUUUUAAAUUCCUUUUCUGUUAGAGAUUGCUCAACGAGGAAGAGAGAAUGCAAACCCAUAUUUGAUAUCCAUGUAUAUGGAUGAAUCUUUUUGUUGUUCUAGUAUAAAAUUGUGUAUUAAAUACACAAUUUUAAAAACUUAGAUACUUGGAUGAAUUAGUAUAAAAUUGUGGUUAGAAUCUUUAAAAAACUUAGAUACUUGGAGAGAAAGAAGUAUUUGGGUAUUAAAUAAUCAGCGCUAGCUAAUGUUAUGCAUAAAAUUGUGUUUAAUUCAAUAAUAUAUUUAAUUAAAUUAAUAUCAAAAAAUAAUAAUUUCCUUAAUUUUACUAUCAGUUUUUAUUUUAUUUUAUUGAGGUGUUCUUUCUAGUGGCAAGUUAUAAUAUGAAAUCCUAACCUAUAUUUGCAAUUAAUGAAACAAAAGUCAUUGAAUUUCAUAUAUCUAUUUAAAUUAAUUAGUAAAUGAUACUGUGUGAAAUUAAUAUUUAAUUAAUUUAAACUUAAUAAUAUAUCCUAGCUAUAACAUAAAUGAAGUAACUCUACUUCAUAACUCAAUAUUCCAUUGCGCCUUUAAUAAAAUAUAUCUAAUAAAGAAUGUUAUAAAAUCUAAGACACAUAAAUUAAAAAAAAAUGAUUUGGAAAAAUCGAUUAAAAAAUCAAUCUUUCAAGAAAUUCAAAUUUCAAAAUAUUGAUGAAGUGAAAAAGGAAACAAAAUCAAUUCAUGAGAUUCCUAAAGUAUAAUAUUUUUAUAUUUUUUUCAAGCAUUUGAUUCCACUUAAAUAUAUUGUAUUAUCUAGAAAAUCAUAUUUACAAAUUCCUCAUAUGAUAAAAAAAACGAUUUUUUAGUAUAAAUAAAGGAAUCCUAGUUUUCUAAAUGUCAGAAUUUAGGAAAUAAGGAUUAAUAAUACAACAAGUUAUUCAUACAUUUUCAUAUAAUUAAGAUAAAGUGUCGAAUUGGAACAACUAUGUUUAAUAAAUCUGUUACAGAUAAAAUAAAUAAAUAUUUGGAGAACCUCCCAAAUUUAGACAAAAACACUUAAUAAAGUAUAUAUACCUUCCUCUCAAAUUCUCUCUUGUUCUUUAGCUUUGCAAUUCAGCAUUAUUGUCCAUAGUCUGAACUGAUUUUCUUCCAACAAGUGGUAUCAAAACUUUUUCUGAUUGUUUGACAUGGCAAUUCAAACUUCCCACUCUAGUCUCUUUGUUUGACAAAUGAUAAGUAUAAGAUUUGGUGUAUCUGUGUGAAAGCUUGGAUAGAUUCCAAGAUGUGUGAGAAACGGUUGCAAAAGGCUUUGAAGAGCCUGCGAAAGGAGUGACAUUGACACCUGUCCAGAAGGCAUGAAAUAACGAUCAAUAAACACUCACAAUCAUUUAUCAAUAUUUGGAUGACACCACUUUUGAGACAGUGGUUGACGCAACCACAGCCAAACAAGCAUGAAAAAUUUUGCCACAAUCAAACUAAGAAGCUAAUAACAUAAAAAAGGUUUGCCUAUAAAAGUUACGAUGUGACUUUAACAAAUUACAUAUGCUUGAGUAAGAGAAUAUUUCAAAAUACUUUGUUAGAGUAUUGACCAUAUACAAUGAGAUGAAAAGAUAUAGAGAGAAGAUGGAAGAAAUGUGUGUGGUAGAAAAGAUCCUACGAUCGUUACAGAAGAAAUUCCACUAUGUGGUGGUCGCGAUAGAGGAUUCGCAAAAUAUAGAUUUUUUUUAACAAUUCAAGAUCUCAUGAGAAAACUACAAACCCGUGAAGAAAGAGUCAAUGAAAUUCAAGAAACCAUGGGUGCAUAAGCACUCUUCUCAAAAUUUUCUAUAAAAGAGAAACAAGAUAACUCUGGAUAUAACCAGGGAGAUAGAGACAGAUUUGGAAGAGGAGGUCGAUGUAGCCUCAAUAGAUUAACCAGUCAACUGAUUGAAGCUAACCAAUCGAUCAGAUCCUCAGAUAGUAGUAAUUCAAGAUCCAAUUUUGAUAAAAUAAAAAUUAAAUGCUAUAAUUGUAUAUCAAAAAAAAAAAAGAGGUUAUUAUACCAGGAUUGCUGAAAUCCAAUCGAAAGGGUUGAAACUAUAAUUGGAAAGAUAAUCAUGACAAAGAAGAAGAUGCAGCUCAUCAGUCGACCAUCACAACCACAAAGCCGUAGAGUCCACACGAGGCUCACGAGUCUGUUGUCACCAAGGAGCCAUGGAGUCCACAAGCACGCGAAUCCAUCGUUGUAGCCACAGAGCCAUGGCAUCCGCACGAAUCUCACGGAACCAUCAUUGCAGCCAUAGAGCCAUGGAGUCCACGUGAGGCUCACAAAUCCAUUGCAAGCAUGGAGCCAUGGAGUCCAUGAACAAGGGGUAACUAAAAAGCUGCAUCGUCACGAACAGUGCAGAAACCAAUAAUUGAGCACAACAGUCUCUGCUUUUCUUAAACAAAGUUGAAAUGUAGUUCGAGACUAGGCUCAGCUUCUUUCCUCAAAUGUUUCGAAUAUUUGCUCUCAGAUCUCAAUCAAAAGUACUUUCAAAAAAGAUAAAAAUAAAAAUAGAGCUAAACGAGUAUCCUUUUAGUUGACCAUUGCAUGCUAUCAAUAGAGAAUAAGAAAGAUGUUGAAGAUUGUCAAAGAAGGAGCUGUCAACAAAUCUUUUUGUUUCUGUUAUUUCUAAUUAUCAUGCUAAUAAUAAGCUAUUAUCCUAGUCUCUAAGAAUUAGUUAUUCUGUUAUUAUGUUAACAGACCAUAGCAUGGUUUCAUGCUAUAAGUUUGGUAUUCUGUUUCUAUAUUUUUGAAUAUAUAUGUGUAACGAUUGCAUGGAAUGUAUGCAAUCAGUAUUAUUCAUUCUAGACAAAUAAAAUUCAAUACAAUAUUUGUUGUCUCUUAUCUUCUAUCUUACUUCUUCUCAUAAACACUUUUCUUUCAAACACUUUCAAUUGGUAUCAGAGCUAUUAUCUUAAAGGGACCUGUAAUGGAGGCUGAAACAAGUUUCUCUCAAAUUUCUUCUCCCAUCUUUGAUGGAGAAAAUUAUCAACUCUGGGCAGUAAAAAUGGAGACUUAUUUGGAGGCGUUGGAUCUUUGGGAAGCUGUUGAAGAAGACUAUGAAGUUCAUCCUUUGCCAAAUAAUCCAAAAGUUGCUCAUAUCAAAAAUCAUAAAGAGAGAAAAACAAGGAAAUCAAAAGCAAAAGCUUGUUUAUUUGCAGCUGUUUCCACAACAAUUUUCACCAGGAUUAUGUCUCUUAAAUCAGCAAAAGAUGUUUGGGAUUAUUUGAAGAAGGAGUAUGCUGGAGAUGAAAGAAUUCGUGGCAUGCAAAGUCUUAAUCUAAUAAGAGAAUUUGAACUACAGAGAAUGAAGGAUUCUGAAACCAUCAAAGAGUAUUCAGACAAAUUACUUGGAAUUGUCAACAAGGUAAGAUUACUUGGCACAACCUUCUCUGAUUGCAGAAUUGUAGAGAAAAUACUUGCAACUCUGCCUGAACGUUAUGAAGCAUCCAUAACCACCUUGGAGAAUACAAAGGAUCUGUCCAAAAUUACCUUGGCAGAAUUGAUAAAUGUCUUGCAGGCUCAAGAGCAAAGGCGACUUAUGAGGCAAGAUCGAGUUACUGAAGGAGCUUUACAAGCAAAGUAUCCCGAUUCUGAUAAGAAGAAUCAGGUUUCAAACAGUAGUAAGACUACUGUCAACCAAUUCCAGAACAAAGGAAAAUUUCUUAAGAGAAACUUUCCACCAGGUCAACACUGCAACAAGUUAGGUCAUCCACCAUUCAAGUGCUGGAAAAGACCUGAUGCAAAAUGCAGUAAAUGUCAUCAAAUGGGACAUGAAGCAAUCAUCUGCAGAACAAAAUUUCAGAAACAGGAUGAAGAUGCUCAGGUUGCCGGUCAAGAUGAUGAAGAUCAAAUGUUUGUAGCUACAUGUUUUUCAAUCCAGACUUCCUCAGAUCACUGGCUAAUUGACAGUGGAUGCACAAAUCACAUGACUUUUGAUAAGAGUCUCUUCAAAAAUUUGCAAACUACUGAAGUUGCAAAGGUCAGAAUUGGAAAUGGUGAUUGUAUAGCAGCAAAGGGAAAAGGAACGAUUGCCAUCACUACCAACUUAGGUACAAAAACUAUUUCUGAUGUUCUUUAUGUACCUGAUAUAUAUCAGAAUUUGUUGAGUGUUGGACAAUUAAUAGAGAAAGGCAUGAAAGUGGUUUUUGAAAAUCAAUCUUGCUAUAUUUUUGAUGCUGCUGGACAAAAAAUAUUGCAAGCCAAAAUGAGAGGAAAAAGCUUUUCAUUUUUACCAUUUGAGGAGGAGCACACAACUUUUCCAACAAAACUGAAUGACAUGGAAGUAUGGCAUAAGAGGUUGGGUCACUGUCAUCAACAGCGAAUGAUCAACAUGAAGAAGCAUGAAGCUGUAAGAGGAGUGCCUUCAUUUACUGAUUUGCUGCCAAAUUGUAAUGCUUGUCAAUUUGGUAAGCAAAACAGAAAACCAUUUCCAAAGUCAACAUGGAGAUCUACACAGAAACUUCAGUUGAUCCAUACAGAUGUUGUUGGUCCACUUAGCACACCUUCAAUAAAAGGUAGUCAAUAUUACAUACUUUUUAUUGAUGACUUCACCAGAAUGUGCUGGAUCUUUUUCAUGAAAUACAAGUUAGAAGUAGCUGGGAUUUUUUGGCGAUUCAAGAAGAAUGUGGAGAAUAAAAGCAGAUGUAAAAUUCAAUCCAUUCGGUCAAACAAUGGUUCAGAAAACAUCUCAUUAGAAUUCAAUCUCUACUGUGAAGAAGCUGGCAUUGAACAUCAAUUCACUGCCCCAAACACUCCUAAACAGAAUGGAGUCAGUGAAAGAAGAAAUCGAUACAUUAUGGAGAUGGUGAGAUACAUGCUACAUGAAAAGAAUUUGCCAAAGAUGUUUUGGGCAGAAGCAGCCAACACAGCUGUCUUCCUUCAAAACUGACUUCCAACAAAAUUACUGGAAGAGAAGACUCCUUUUGAAGUUUGGUAUGACAACAAACCUUCAUUAAGUUUUCUUAAAAUCUUUGGCAGCUUUUGUUUUGUUCAUGUUCCACAGAUCAAAAGGGACAAGCUUGACAAGAAGGUAAUGCCUGGAAUUUUUGUUGGCUACAGUGAUGUUUCUAAAGCCUAUAAAGUUUAUCAUCCUCAAACUCAGAAGAUGGUUAUUACAAGGGAUGUUCAUUUCCAUGAAGAAAAACAAUGGGAUUGGGGAGACACACAAAGAAAUGUGCAGCUGUCAGAUUUGUUGCAGGAUGAAUUAGUUGAUAAUUCACAAAUUAUGGGCACUGCAGAUUUAUUGCAGGAUGAAUCAUUUGAUGAUUCACCAAUUAGAGGCACUCGAUCCCUUGAUGAUAUUUAUCAAAGGAGCAAUGUAGCUAUUUGUGAACCUGAAGGCUAUGAAGAAGCCAAACACAAUCCAGAAUGGCAAAAGGCAAUGCAGGAGGAGAUAUGCAUGAUUGAGAAGAAUUGCACAUGGGAACUUGUUGACAGACCACCAAGCAAAAAUGUUAUUGGCGUGAAGUGGAUUUUCAGAACUAAACUGAAUGCAGACAGUACCAUCAACAAGUAUAAAGCCAGGCUGGUUGUUAAGGGGUAUGCUCAGAUUUAUGGUGUUGAUUAUUCAGACACAUUUGCACCUGUAGCAAGGAUGAACACCAUACGAUUCUUGUUUGAUGUUGCUGCACACAGGAACUGGAAAGUUUUCCAAUUAGAUGUUAAAUCAGCUUUCCUGAAUGGCAUUCUACAAGAAGAAAUUUAUGUUGAGCAACCAGCUGGUUUUGUGACUCAAGGAGAAGAAAACAAAGUUUAUCUACUAAAAAAAGCUCUCUAUGGAUUGAAACAAGCACCUAGAGCUUGGUAUAGCAGAAUUGAUGACUAUUUGACAGGUUCUGGAUUUCAGAAGAGUUUGUCAGAAGCAACUUUUUAUGUGAAGAGAAUCAACGAUGAUGUGCUUAUAAUAUCUCUUUAUGUUGAUGAUCUCUUAGUGACAGGAAGCAAUACAGUGCAGGUUGCAGAAUUCAAGCUAAAUAUGAUGCAAGUCUUUGAAAUGACCGACCUUGGUCUCAUGAGUUUCUUUCUAGGAAUGGAAAUUAUGCAACACAGAGAAGAAAUAUUCAUUUGCCAGAAGAAGUAUUCAAGGGAAAUCCUGAAGAAAUUCCAGAUGGAUAAUUGCAAGCCGACAGCUACUCCUAUGAAUCAAAAGGACAAAUUCAGCAAAGAAGAUGGCACUGCCAAAGUAGAUGAAGAAAAAUUCAGAAGCUUGAUUGGAUGCUUGCUAUAUUUAACAGCAACUCGACCUGACAUACUUCAUGCAACAAGUAUUCUAUCUCGGUUUAUGCAUUGUCCAACCGAAAUUCAUAUGAGAGCAGCUAAAAGAAUUCUGAGAUACAUCAAAGGAACAUGCAGUUUUGGUGUUAAAUUUUUGAAGUGUCAAGAUUUAAAACUACAUGGUUUUUCUGACAAUGAUUAGGGUGGCUCUAUUGAUGACAUAAGAAGUACCUCUGGAUUCUGUUUUAAUCUAGGAUCUGCUAUAUUUUCAUGGUCAUCUAAGAAGCAAGAUAUCAUGGCUCAAUCUAUUGCAGAGGCAGAGUUCAUUGCAGCCACAGCUGCAGUGAAUCAAGCAUUGUGGUUACAAAAGUUGUUACGAGAUUUAUACAUGGAAGAAGAAGAAGCAAUUGAAAUCUCAGUUGACAAUCAAGCAGCUAUUGCAAUAUCUCAUAAUCCAGUGUUUCAUGGAAAAACUAAAUAUUUUAACAUCAAGCUGUAUUUCUUGCGUGAGGUGCAAAAAAAUGGUGAAGUUAAAUUGAUUAAUUGCAAGUCUGAAAAUCAAUUGGCUGAUCUGUUUACUAAACCACUUCCAGUAAACAGGUUUGAGUUUUUAAGACAAAGGAUUGGAGUUUGCAGCUCCUCAAGCAAGGAGGAGUGUUGAAGAUUGCUUCCUGGAGCUGUCAAAGAAGGAGUUGUCAACAAAUCUUUUUGUUUUUGUUAUUUCUAAUUAUCAUGCUAAUAAUCAGCUAUUAUCCUAGUCUCUAGGAAUUAGUUAUUAUGUUAACAGAUCAUAGCAUGGUUUCAUGCUAUAAGUUUGGUAUUCUGUUUCUAUAUUUUUGAAUAUAUGUGUGUAACGAUUGCAUGGAAUGUAUGCAAUCAGUAUUAUUCAUUCUAGACAAAUAAAAUUCAAUACAAUAUUUGUUGUUUCUUAUCUUCUAUCUUACUUCUUCUCAUGAACACUUUUCUUUCAAACACUUUCAAAAGAUACAAGGUGAAGUAGAAUCAGCCUGACACAAACACAUCAAUUUACCCAUACAAAAAAAAAUCAUAUAACAUUUGGAAAAGCAGGAUGACCAUCAAAUCUUGUUGCCUUAAACAAUCUUCUUGUAUCUUCUUCAGGAAAUAAGAAAAGAAAAGAUUAAAAAUUGUGUGUGUGUGUAUUUAUAUAAAACUCUUGCAUUUUCUAGUUGUUUUUUUUUUUUAAUAAUAGAGAGUAUUAAUAAAAAAAUAGGCAUCUCCUAAAAAGUUAAAUGACGAUUCAUGACUGCGUUAGAAAUGAGAUAAAAAUAAAUAAAAGGAAACAUUGAAGGAAAUAUAUAACAACCGGAGUACUUAUGUGUAUUUCUUUCCCUUGUUCUUUACAAGAUCCCUACAAAGCCUACAUUCCUGGCAGAAUAAGUCCAAUUUACUACCUUCUAACUGGCAUAGAAUAUGAUCUACGAAUAUCUUCCAUGUGAAAAUUUGAUGUUUCUGAUGAAGAAACAGAAGUUGAGUGUCGAAGGAAAGGAGUAGCUACCCCGCUUGAAGUUUCAUUGGCAACUGUGGUAGGACUAACUGAAAUAAAAGAAGCUGGCUGCAACUCGAUUUGAGUGACUGGAUCUGCAUCAUUCUCAGGAAUAUCAAGCAAAUGAUGACUGUCUUCCUCUGACAUUAAUGUGCUUGUGUCUCUGUGCAUUGUAGAAUCAUCUUUGACAAUUCCAUGCCUUCUCUUCCCCCUAGCUGCUGCUUUCCCCCACCCAUGGAUUGUGUCCCUUAUUCUUUGAGGAAAUAAUGCCGGCUUAUAGUUUGUUCCCAUCUGGUAAAAGGGAGAGAACAAUACGUGAUGCUAAUAAUGACCAGAAAAUGAUUGAACAAAAAAAAUGUGGUAUAAUGCUACCACCUUAACCCGAUGAAAACCUGCUCAAGCAUUUCAUGUUACUAGUUAGGAAGAGAGAGGCUUGUUCUACUCACAAGUGGAUAAAGAUGAUUUCAAUUCUUAAAACGCCAUAAAAAAUUUAUGGCAAUUUAAAGGACUCGACAUCAUGACUUAUUCUCAUGUCUAAAAAUAUAUGAAGUUUGUUCCAAAACCCUUGCUUGGUAAUGGAUUGUGAUAAAACACCACAGCAUCGCUCCCAGAAAGGAAAAGGUGGAGAAGAUAAUAAGAAGGAAAAAACUUGAGGUUUGUUAGCCGACAAAUCAGGCUGUCAAAAUUUAUUAGUUUCAACAAUGUUGACGUUAGAAAUAAUUUCCAUGGCCACUGUUCUUUCGUAUGUAUCAGCAUGAACGGUAAAUUUGAGGGUACACUCAUAAACUAGGUGCUUGCACAAUACUGCAUAAACAUGGUCAUGAAGAACUUCAGACGUCCUACUUGGACAUGUUCAUGCAUUUGCAUUUGAUUGCCAGUCACUAGCUAGUUAUAUAACUCCUGCAUUAUAUACACUGCAUAGACAACAAUAUAUUCAUUAGUGUCUCCUCUCUUUCUCUUAGAUACUGUGGUUGGAUUUGACAACAAGCCCAGGAAUAAAGACACAUGCAGCUGGCAUAUGCCAUGAGGCUGAAGGGCUAUAUUGGCGGUCAAGUCUCUGUUACUGGAAGCUGUGGUGUAUCUGCAUCUGAUACAAGUUAAAACUAGCUAGAUUGUGGUAGAUUAUGUGCUUCUAAUGUCUUGUUCAUGAUAUUUGUUGACUAGUAGAUUAUGCAUUAGUAUUUUCUUGCAUAUAUAAUAUGAAUUGACCAGUUUUUUCCUUGGGGAAAAGUGCAUAUAGUGGCAAUAUGAUAUACCUGGGUAGCAAGUGCAUAAAGUGGCAAGGUGAUGUAGCUGCAGAGGAACUGCCCAGCAUGUUCCUUUUCAGUAGAAUCAUUAGUUUCCUUAUACAUAUUUAUUAUUUAUGUCAAGAAAACAGCUGUAAAUAUUUGUGUAAUCAUAGGGUAAUUAGCUUUCUAUAAUUAGGCCGAGAUUAUAGUUAAUAGUAGCAGAUUUUAUGAAAUGUAAAUCAGAAUUCUUCCAUUUUAAUAAAAGAGACUCUCAUGAAGGGAGGUCAUUCAGCCAAAUUAACAAUGAUAUACCUGGGUAGCAAGUGCAUAAAGUGGCAAGGUGCUGUAGCUGCAGAGGAACUGCCCAGCAAACCUACAAGAUAAUACAAUAAUGCAGUAGCUGUAAAAGCUGAUGAAUCCUCAAGAAAGUCUCAACUAUCUCAGAUGUAUGCAUACCCCAACACAAGUCGUAUGUACACCUGCAAAUGGUUCCUAAUAUAGCAGGAUCUGUACCCAAAUUGCCACUGUAAAUUAAUCAACAAAAGACAGAUCAGUUCAACGUACAGAUUCAACACCUCAUCAUGGAAAAGAAAAAACUUUGUAUCUCCUCAUUUCUGAUUCUUCUGGUCAGUGAUUAUCACACAUUCUUUUCGUAAACAUUGAAUCAACCCAGGAAAAAGUGAGGUUUUUGUUCAAACAAUCACAGAAAUUAUAAUAAAUUUGAGCUUGGUUGAUGUCAAGAAGGAAAGGACAAAAGUGAACUCUCGCAGUCCAAUGAAUAAUGAUCAAGUCAGGGUAGAGGAGGUACCCAAAACCAAAAGAAUGAAGCCAAUUCAAAUGCAUUCUGCAAUCACAUUUCAGAGAAAGAAAAGAACGAGAUGUCAGUUAUGCUACUUUGGCACAACACCAUAGAACCAUUUUCUAGGAAAGAAGGAACUGAAAGGACGGUAUAUGUUACCAUUUUAACUUGAGCAACUGAUCACAGUGAGCAUUGCUUACCUGGAACAGGAUAAAAUGGAUCAAUGGCAGAAACAGUUCUGGCUUCUUGAACCAGAAAAGAUCAUCUCGAGGCCUCAGCUUCCCUUCUACAGAGUGUCCAGUAAGGCCAGCAGUCUCUAAUGUCAAGGUCGCAAUAACAUGUUGUAGCUUUGCACCGACUACAAGAACAAGCUGCCCGUGACAUGAAAUAUCAGAGAUGCCCAGUGCAAUGACUUAAGUAAUACAAAAUUCGUUACGUGUAAUCUGUUGUCCUUCCAAAUGUCUGUUUCUCACUGCAUACUUUUUGUUUCUACCGAGGAAAAUUCCAUUUGCAGCAUACAAGUGAUUGAUAAAACUGAAACUCAAAAGAACCUGCAGCACUUACAGUGAUUGGAACGACGGAUAUCCAGAAAUAGAGAUUAGAUCCUGUUGAAAGGUUCCAAAGCGAACAAACCAUAAAUUAGUAAGAUAGAUUGAGACUUUAGGAUAACCCGAUCAUACAACACCAGAUCAUUUAUGAUUUAUGAUUGUAUGUUGCGGGCUGAUUAAUUUUUUUAAACGUAAAUAACUGUCUAAGCGUUGAUGUAUUUUAAAUAAUAUCUUUUAAAAAUAUUAAUAUAGCAACAUACAUAGAAAGGAGAUAAAAAAAAAUAAGAAAACUUAAUUAAAAAAAAUAAUAUCUAGUUAAAAAAAUCCAAAAAAAUAAACAGAAUCAACUCAUUAAACUCAUAACCUGAGUCAAGAAAUCGAAAUAAUCCUAUAAAAAGCAAAUAAAAAAUAAUUACGAAGUUCAAUUUCAACUAACCCAAUAUUAAAAGAUGAAAUCAAAAUAAAAUCAAUUUAAAAAAGCUGCAAAAAAAAAAACAACGCAAAUCAACCCGAGUUAACUUGUUAAACUCGUUAUCUAGAUCAUGAGAUCAUGAUAAAUACAUUGAAAGCAAAUUGAAAAAAAAAAUAUCAAGUCUCAAUUCCAACAAAUCCAGUAUUAAAUAUUAAAAUAUAAUAAUAAAUUCAUAUAACUAGUAUAUAACAUAAUAGAAAGAAAAUUUAAAAAUAAUUACAAAAUACAAUUUCUAGAAUAACCUAAUAUUAAAAAAUAAAAUUAUAAAAAUGUUAAAUUAAAAAAAUAUUAAAUAAAAAAACAAAACAAAACACUAAUGAAUAAUUUUUUAUGAGUGGCUACGGUGAAUUAGCCAUAAAUGUUUUAAUUAAUGUUUUGUUAAUACUCACCGAAAUUCGUAUAUUGUUACCCAAUGGCAAGUGCAAAACAAAGCGAUUCAUAGCAUUAAUUAUUUUUCACUCUCAUAGACAUACCUUCCACAUUAAACAGCAUGAAUGCAACAACAAAUCCCCACAAUGGACCACUGCAAGGCAUUGAACACACAGGCAUUUAGCUGGUCCAUCUUCUCCUUGCUCAAUCAUGCAGAUGAAUGGCCUGAAAAUACAAGAAACAUUCAAAGUACAUAGACGACGUUACCUCACACCAACAAUUCUCUGGAAUUCUUCUUCCAUAGAGCGAAUCAUGUAGCUGUGAAAAUCGAAUUUCAAUAAGAGGUUGUGAUUCUGCCAUGAAUAAGAAAAAACAAAGAGGAAUGGAUGUCAAUAAAGCAUCACUGAUACUACCAACAGUAUAUCAGCAAAGACGCUCACGUUGUAUCUGUAUAUAUACACUUCAUUUUCUUCUUCUUUCUUAAACCCUAGUACAAUACCAUUGAAUUCCUCGGUUGAUUCUGGGAUGAUAACACCCCUACUCCUCUCUUUUUCCUGGAGGAGAGUGUCAUAUUGCAUUGAUAGUAAAUCCUAAAUGCUAGUUGAAAAGUAGAACUUCCUAUGUGCCCCUUGCAAUGUUGUAAAUGCUAUUUGAGAAAUAAAUAUUUACUUCAAGUAUGGGCUAACAGAUAACAGCAGAUCAUACCAUGAUGAAGCCCUUGCGAAGAGUGAGGUAGUCUGUGCGAGCCACUGAAGGUCCAAAUUGCCGAAAGAAACAUGUCUGCAAGUUGAUAAAACACAUCAAACGAUGACCAACACAAAAACAAGGCCUGAUGGGAAGGCUCUAAUUCUAUUGCAGAAUUUGAGGUAAUAACAAGCAAGCAUCGAUUACAACAUAGAAAGCAUUAAAGAGCAAGAAAGAGAGUUUUGUACCUACCACCCAGAUAAGAAAACUAUUCUUGACCAAAGGGCUUGAUGUACGUUGUCUUGCGAAGGUUGUUUGCCUUCGCAAUGUCUUUUCUCUAUUGAUUUCUGUUACAGAAUAGAUUACUAAGUCGUGAUUUCUGUGAUACAGCAGUAUUUCUAAGAAUAAAUAUUCUCAAUUGAAAUGAUAUUGGAAGGUGAAGGUAUCGCUUGAAAAAUAAUGCCAAGAGAGGAAGAAAAGAGAAAACAACAGAAACUUAUUGCGAGUUCCUAUUUUUUUCCUAAGUAUCUUCAUUCGAAUACAAACAAUAAAAUCUCAAUCUCUUUAAAAGUUCUAGCAUCUAGACUUACAUGUAUAAGGACAAGCUAAAUAGUGUAUACAGAAGAGAGAGAUUAAGUAGUUAUAUUCUAAAUCAGCCAUCAAGUAUAAAGCUGACAUAGGCAAAAAGAAUUGGGCAGCACUUGUUACUGUUUAAACUUUUAAAUCUAUUCAAAAGCACUUUCCUGUCUAAGGCUUUACCUGUUGAUACAUCACGGCAGUCCAAACGAGCCAAAUCCUCCCAUACUCUCCAACUAUGAAUCUGGUGAAACAAUUACAAUGUUAGGCAGUUGGUCAUGGUGAUAACGAGAUUAUGGUUCUCUUGUUUCAUGAGUCAAAUCUAGUAUCUUGUAUUUGAUCAACUGCAGUUCAGGAAGACGAUGGUUUUUAUGGUCAACAUAAUUUCCUCUCCCGGGUCCUGGGAAAAGACAUAACAAGUUCGACUAGAAAAUACUGUAUUACUCUAAAUACAACAACCAAAAGCAACAGCUCAAAAUGCAUAACCUUCACAAUUGCCAGCAGCAUUGUUAAGCAACUGUAAGAAAUGUGUGUGAUUGCCAUGACGAAAAUGAAGCGAUGCAACCGCUCGAGAUCUUGAUAUGACACGAAUGGCUCAUAUCCCUGCACGUCAAACAGUUUUCAGAAUCGAAUAUUUGUCAUUGAGAAAACGAAUGCCAUAAUAAAAGAAGGUUAUCAACUCGCUGCUUUGAAAAUUCAAUAUUGCAACAUCCUCAACAACGUUUUAUAUAGAUGAAUUAAUGACAUGCCUUUUCGCAGGUAUUCCAAUCCAAGCCAUUCAACAUUCUUCGAAGUGGAUGAGGAAGAACAGGAAGCAUCACUAGUUUACGUCCCUCGGAAGAAUUUUGUUUAAUUUCCUCAUCAUUCUCUGGACUCGUGCAAGAAGCAAAAUUGCCUUCAUAGAACUUUGAUGGAAUGCAAAUAUUGGCUAUGGUGCUUGAGGUAGCUGUUAAAAGAAGUGAUAUGAAUCCAAGCAGCAUCAACUCUGAAGACAAGUACAAAAUGAUACUUGUGAAUGAAAAUUAGUGAAAAAAAAUAUGAAAGGAAGGGGAUUAAAAAUUACUUGUAAGCAAAAGAACUAGAUGAACUUUCUGCAGCAUCUGAUGUUUUUUUAACUUGGAAAAUACCUUCUUUCAUCUUCUCCACAGCUGCAAGCAAAGGUUUCCGAUUGGUUUCCCGCAACCACUGAAAAACAAAUGAACAAAGAAUCAAAUCUCAGAUUAGACGCCAAAGCUAUUGAAACCAACACUGGCAUUCCAGAAAAGAAAAUGCAAACAAAAAUAAUCUGACAGAUUCUGUUUCAAUUCCUCUGUCAAUAUUGAGUUCUCCUAAAGCAAACAUGUGAAAUUUUAUCAUAAACCUGCUGAAACAAAGUUAACGAAGCUGGUGCUUCCAUAACAGUCUUCCAAAAUGUAAUUUUCACAUCUGAAGCAUUUUAUGUAAUAAUCAAUGAGAUUUCAGCCUACAAUCAAGACCAAGAACCAAACAGAAAGCUAGAGGUAUCAACUAAAAGCCCUCAAAAAGUCAAUAAAAGCUAUUUAGAAACUCAAAUUCCUCUAAACAUCAGAAAAGAAGUAGUGGCAGAUAUCAAUUGCCAAGCAAAGUGCCUUACUGCUUGCAAAACCUUUCAUCAAGAAUGAUAUAUCCAUAUAUACCCAGGUUUCAAAGGGAUCAAAUAUAUAAAUAAAAUAUUAAGAAAAUCCAUUAUGUACCUUGAACUUUAAGUAAUAGAGUGAAAGGAAGGAAAAACAAUCAAAUUCUGCACAAAUACAGUGUAGUACCUCACAAAUCAUAACAAUGACAAAAUGCAACAUCAGGAGAAAAUGGUAAGAACACAAGAAAAAAUAAUAGACAGUAGAAAGAAGAUGUCACUUACGCUACUUAGUCUGUGAAUUGAGCGCUCCACAAUCAGAGAAACAACCACAAAGAUUGUCAACACAGUUGCAACUGACCAUGUUGGAGUUAAGGCCAAGGAUCUCGUUUCUUUUGUAUCUUCUUCCAUUCGAAGCAAUCCUACUCAGACACGCAAACUUUUGUCUUUAAAUCUUAACACCCUAAAGCCCCUGUCUUAAUUUUAAACUAACAACGACAACAAGCAACCAAAUUCGCUUCCUAGAAAUCAAAACAACCAAAAAAAGAAACACAAACUUAACUCCAUCAUCCUGCUCCUCGUGUAAUCAUAUAUAUAAAUAUGAUAAUACAAACAAAAAAAAAGUUUGGAACCCAACCGAGCUCUCUCUCUCUCUCCUCCUUUUCUCUCUAUUUUCUUGGCUGAGACAAAACCAAUCUCUGAGGCUCAGUUUGAUCAAACUGUUGGUGAGAGAAAUCACUGAUGGUGGCUUUGAAACAUUCAGAGGGGAUAAAACACACUGUUUAUUUCAACAACAAUAAGCUUACAAUAACUAAACAAAAUUUCUUAAUACACGCCCUCUCUUUCUCUUUAAUGUUUCUCUUUAAUCUCUCCACACAUAUAACAUAAACUUAGCUGUCUAUUUAUACACAAAUUGAAAGUAAAAAAAAUCAAACUUCAAGUGUGAAGGCAGCUGGCGGCACACAGCUGGUGGCUGGCUGCAAGUGGUGUUUGAGACGGUUGACAGCUGGUGGCUGCAAGUGAUGGUUGUUGGUUGUUGACCUUCUAGAUUGAGUUUACCACAACACAAACAACCUACUUGAGCUCACCUUGAUUUACUAUUUAUUAUUAUUCAUGAAUAAUAUAUAUAUAUAUAUGAUAUUAUUCUAUUCAUGAAUAAUAAUUUUUUUUUCAUAUGUAUUUUUCUAGAUAUUUUUUCGACAUAUUUUUCAAAAUUAUAUAUCCUCAACUUUUAAAAUAAACAGGAGAUAAUUCAUCUAAACAACACUGCGCAAAGAACACUCUUAACAAGACAGAGAACACACAUCUUUUCUCUACACAUAAAUUUAUCUUCUUGAAUUUUUAUUUGCUUAUCAUUUGAGAAAAAAGCUUAAAUAUUAACUUAAGUAUCAAAAUGUCUCUUGUUCCAUAAGGAACUUGUUUUACAUGCACAACUUAAGCACAAAACUCAUUGGCAAAUGAAAGUCAACAUUUUUCUGUGAAAAUUUUUCUCGACUUCAUGAGUGGCAUCGUCUGUGGGAACCAAAAUAAACAAUUUUUCCAUGCCUUUUCAAUUUAUACGAAAAACAAUUCGUGGCUAACGGGAUUUCAGUACAUGGAAGAGUAACUAAUCUCCCCACAUUGACUCCAGUUCACCUAAGUAAAUGCAAGUACUCAAUAACUUUGCUCUUGCCAUACAAGAAUAGCUUCGCUCUCUUCAGUACAACCAACAGAAAAGUCAACCCAUAGCACUAGGUGUACAAAGACAACUUCAAUUUCAAUAAAAAAAAAACUACACAAAAUAACAUACCAAAUAGGCUCCACACUCCAACUCUCUAAAUAAGCCACCACACCCCAUCAAAUCCAAGCCACAAACAUGGUUGUUUUCAUCAAUAUUCUUUUGAGUCUUAGUCUUCUCGUUUGCAUGCUCCCCAUAACUAAAAAAAAAACUAAGCAUGACGUGCAUGAGACAACACCAAUCCCAACUUCUUCAUACUAUUAUCACUAAGUAAAAGAGUCUUUAUUUUAUCACAGAGUGUUACACACUCACCUCACCAAGGAUUCUGUAGAUGUUAAAGCCAACUUAAAUAUUAGAAGCAUCCUGGAGCUAGUAACACACAUAAAGUUCAUCUCUCAUUUUAGCACCAACAUUCGUGCUAAAAAUAGCAUUAUAGAUCUCAUUAUCAUCACACAAUGAGAUGAUGAAAACACAAGGGCAUGUCUUUGGAGAUUCAAUGAGGAAAUGAUAAGCAUGAAUGAUCUGCGUGAACCCAUCAUCACUGAAGCCAUGAUCAAUUGAUUCUAUAACUAUUCUUUAUGGAAAAUGUUAUACACACUCCCUAGCAAAAAUGUCUUUAGCAUCAAACAUGAGAUGAGAUUAUAUUAAGGUGGAAUAAACUAGCAUGAUCAUAAAAGGUCACCCACACUUCCAUAUAUAAGAAAAGUCUUCACCACGCCAUUAAUCUCCAACACAAACAUCUAAAAGAAGCAUAUAAGGGCACAUCCUUGAUCACCUAACAAUAUCUAAGCUCAUGACCACACCUCUCAUAACAACAUAUGUUGAUAUGUUGGCUGCCAUAAAGGGAAAAGACUUCUUACAAUACCAACCUCCAAUGAAAAGUGGUUCAAACACAAGAAACCCUAACAAGUUUUGCCUCUUUCACAUUGAUUAUGGACAUGACACAAAAAAAAGUGUCAUGCACUCACAAAAGAGAUAGAAUCUCCAAAAGGUACCUCCAAGAAUUUGUGAAGAGGGAGAUAAAAUAUGAGCAAACAAAAAACAAUUUUAAUGAUGUACUACCUCAAAUAAGAUAAAUCUCAAAAAUUAUAUCUUCAUCAUCUUUUGAAUUGAAAAAAAUAAUAAAAAAUAGUGCAUUUUCAUGUCUCCAAACAUAUAGGGUCUCUAUGAAACUUUCAUAGAGAAGUAUCGAUUAAUCUUUAUUAUAUCGAUUGGUCCCUCAAUCGAUUUUCUUCAGGUCUCUACCACUACUUGUCUCUAGGUCCUUGUGACCAAUGUCACCACGGCCUUGUGACCAAUGUCACCACGGCCUUGUGACCGUUAUCUUCAAGCCCCCAUUACCAACUGUGCCUAAGUCCUUGUGUCUAUUGUCUCUAAAAAGAUCAUGGAUCUUUCUCAAUAAAACAUUGACAAAAUCUCUCACUAAUUCAAAAAAAAAAAACAUCCAAAGACAUGCCUAUACAACUAACAUUUUUAUGCAAGCAUUCACUAUAAUUAUUUUCUCUUCCUCUUGGUUAAAGUCUUCCAAACAUGUAUGUUUACAAGACUUUAAGGGGCUAAUGAUAAUACAAAAAAAAAAAAUUAUACCCGGUUAGGCCGAAGCCUGUCUUUCCUUUCUUUCUCUCUUCCCUUGGUCAAGACCUAUUUGAGCUCCAGGGUUUGAUUUGACCGAGCUACUUUGGCUCAUCUUGGUUUAUUAUUCAUUACUAUUCAUGAAUAGUAAUAUGAAUGGUACUAUUCAUGAAUAGUACUUUUCACUUAUAUUUCUCUAGGUAUUUUCUAAUGCUAUAUAUAUCAUCAGGUUUUGAGAGAGAAGAAAGAUUAUUCAUCUAAAUAACAUUACACAGAGAAUACUUUUAACAUGAAAUAGAGCACACAUCUCUUCUCUACACACAAAAAAUAAUAUUUUUAUCUUCUUGAAUUUUUACCUAGUUAUCACUUGAGAAAAAAUUUAAAUACUAACUUAAACAUUAGAGUGUCCCUUGUCUAUGAGAGACUGGUUUUACAGGUACAACUCAGGCCCAUAACUUAUCAACCAAGAAAAUUCAACAUUUUUCUAUGAAAAUUCUCUACAACUUCAUCAAAACAUAUAGUAUACAAAUAUGAACAUCAAAAUCCUAACUUUUGAUCCCUUUUACUUUCAAACUCCAAAAGCAUUGAUGUACCGCAGCCAAGUUUGCAUCUUUAGCUUGUACUAGUUAGUUGUUAACACUACGUUGUGGGUCGGAUCAAAAAAACUUUUGUGUACCUAAAAAUAUUAGUAUUGCUAAUGUAUUUUCUAAUCUUAAAAAAAAUUGAUGAAAUAACAAAAAAAGGAUAUCGGGGUAGAAAAAAAUGGAGAUAAAAAAAAAGUUACUAUUAAUCCACAUGUUGCAAAAUAUUUUAAAGAAAAUUAUUUAUCUUUAGUUAUUUUUAUUUUUCUUAUUUAGUUUAUGAAAUUAAAUAUUUUGCUUAAUAAUUUUAUUCCUUCUUAUUUGUUUAGGACUUUUUUUGCUUUUUUUUUUUUUUUUUUGGUAUCCUAGUUUGUUUAGGUUAGUUUUUUGGGUUUAUUUGAGUUGUAAGCCUUUUAGAAAAUGAAACUACUUGAAGAGAAAAUAUUGAAUAAUAAAGAUUCGAAUUAGGAUUUUUGCAGUAAAACCUUGUAUUGCUUGUGCUUGUUGUCUUUCUUAUGUUAUAUAUAUUCUUCUGCAUUAGUUGGUAUCAUAGCUCUACGUCUAUUGAUAUCAGAGCCUAGUAAAUACUUGUGGUUAGUUGUUUUUUGUUGUUGAAUAACCAUAAAUAUAAAAGGUCGUACAAUCAAACAUGCUCGUGUAGUAGAUGAGGAGGAGGUUUCCUCUUAGAAAAAAGAUAUACAGGAACUAGUGUGUUGUUUCUGUCUAAGUCAAUUGUUGUUAUUGAAAAUCCUAGUGGUAGGAUCCACGAUGAAAUGACCCACACAAAGGUGUUAAAGAUCCUUAUUGAGAGGAGACACAAAAGGAUGUUUGUGGUGGAGUAUGGUUUUUUACUAAAGUUUGAACUCGAUGAUAACUUCCUUUCAAUAUAGGAAAAUGAUGCAUAAGUUUUUUUGAAAAAAUAUAUAUUUUUUAGUUAAUUGUUUUUUUUUUAAUUUUCUAUUGUGUAUUAUUAUGUUUUCUAGCUGUUUUUUUAUUUGAAGGGAAUAGAUUUCUAGUUUAGUUUUCAUAUUUAAUAUUAAUAGGAUUUUCUAGUUUUUUUCUAUAUAAAAAAUUGUAAAAGCAUUUUAGCAAGUGAGACAUGGAUUAAUAAAAUUAAGUAUUUAAGGAGUUUCUUUUCUUAGUCUUUGAGAGUUUUUACUUAUAACAAAUCUUGUUGUGUUUUAUUCUUAUCAGCAUCAGUUAACUUAAUUGGUCUGAUUUUGGAUCAGAUUAAAAGUCAAUUUUUGAGAGUAGAAAUUGAAUGAUAUUAAUGCUGGAACCAUUUUUAAAUUCUCUACAAAAACAUACAUUACUCGAAGUUCCUUCGUUUACCCGUAUGUCUAGAGAAAACGCCAGAACCCCGCCAUUAGUGAAUGGCGUUCUCUGAGUUGCAUAUCACAGUUGAUCCCUUUACCUUUCUCUCUGUCCCUCUUAUCUGACAAAAAAAGAAAGAAAAAAGAAACGGUCUUUAUGAAAAGCUAGUUCCCUUCUUUAUGUAGUGCGUGCAAAUGGAGCUUUUAAUUGGUUGUUUUCGCCCCUUGCAUUUGACAAGUGACAAGAUAGCAAAGGAAAAGAGACAGAGAGCGAAAAACAGAAACAAAACCUGUCCACAUUGAAAAAGAAAAAAGCAGAAACUGAAUUAUUGGGUUGGAUUUUAUGUUUAUAUAUAUUGAUAAAUUUAAUUUAAUUUAUGAGCAUUUUAGUUGCACUGUUUUUUACAAGUUUUGAUUCAAUUUGUAUUUAGCUUAUAAUAGCUCUUUGGUUUAUAAUGAGCUUUUUUUUAUUUAUUUGUUUUUUAAAAAAUCAAAACCGAGCCAAUUUAAUUUAAAAAAAACGAUUUCUAAUUGAGAUUAUCAAAAACAAUUCAAAAAACCAUUCAAUUUAGUUAAUUUUGGGUCAUUUUUCAAAUAAUUUAAUUGGUUUGUUCAUAAGUUUUUUUAAUUAGAAAUUAUAUAUAUAUAUAUAUAUAUAUAUAUUACUUUAUUGAUUUCUUAAAUUAAUUGAAAUUAUAUUUGAGUUAUUAUUUUUUGAAACUUUAGCUUAUUUCCAACAAGAUUAUAUUUGUUUUUUUUUUUUAAUUUCAGGGGGCGUUCUUUUUACAUAGUCGGUAAUAUUAGAUGAUUUUUUUAGAGUGUUUAUCUAUCUUCAUCAGCAUAUAAUUAAAUAAAAAAUAACAUAAAAUAAUUAGACUAAGCGGGAUCCAUAACUAGAAAAUAUAUUUAAUAUGUGAUCCUUGUUUAUCACAAGUCAAAUAUAUUAUUAUUUUAAUAUUAAAAAAAAAUCAUCAAAACUUCUCCAUCCACAUUCAAUGAUUGCUUGAACAUAACUUUUUCUUGGCGUUAAAAGCUAUCUACGGAGACCUUUAAUGCUUAUCUAGCCACCAUCAACAUGGAUAUAUUGAGCCCCAAAUUUCCACCAUUGUGAUUCACGAGUCAGGACCUUGAUACCCUCCUCCUCCAUAUCCCUAAUGGAUAUUUGAUUGUUUUAGCUUAAUUCUAAUGAAUUGAUACCACCACAAAAUUAGUGGUGUUAACUUGAAAACUAAACUUUUUUUUUAUUUUGGAAUGAGUUAUUCUAUUAACUAUCUUUAAGUUUAAUAACCCGUUUGUUUUUGUAUUUUAAAAAUAUUUUUGAAAAAAUUUAAAACAAAUUAUUUUUUAUUUACUUCAAAUUAAUAUUUUUUGAUGUUUUUAUAUCAUUUUGAUGCGUUGAUAUCAAAAAUAAUUUUUAAAAAAUAAAAAAUAUAUUAUUUUAAUACAUUUUUAAAUAAAAAGUACUUUAAAAAAAUAAUCACAACCACACUUUUAAAUACCUUUUAAGCUUUGUUCAGAAGCAGUUCUCGUUUUCUAACUUCUGACUGUCCUAACAAAUAAUUUGUUUUCUUAGGAAGAUUACAUUAUAGGUGAACUCUUGUUGUAUCAUCUUAAUGAUCUUCAUUUUAUAGCUUUUAGUAACAACCAAAUUAAAUAUUCCCGUCAAAUUUAUUGGUGGUGUUAAUGUUAGUUCUAGGAUAAAUCAACAGAACUUUCGAAAUAUCAUAAAAUUAUCCAUAAAAGUUGAGACCUUUUUCAAAUAAAAAAUAGCCUUUUCACAUAUUUAAGAAAAUAUUAUAAGAAAUAUCUUCCUAUGCAAAAUAUCCCUAUCUAGUACUAUUAAAAGAUCUAAUUUUUAAUUAUGAAAAGUAUAACUUAACUGGUCAGAUCUUAGAUUUGCUCCUUAGAGAUUACCAGUUCGAGUGCCACAAAUCUUAAAGCUAUUUAAGGCAUACAUGGUCGUUAAUUUUAGUAUUUCGAGAGAUUAGUUGAGAUACACGUAAGUUAGUCAAGAUUCCAACAGCUAAAAAUAAAAUUUAAUUUUCAAAAUGGAUUAGAGUUUACAUGCAAAAGAGGAAAGAGAUGCGAGGGAGAAGCUAAUACUAUUGGCCGUCUUGGUCUUGGUCUUAAAGCUCUCGGGUUGGGUGACCAGAGCUUAUUGUCCUGUGACAAAAUCAAAGUGAAAAUGACAGUCUUUUUCGCCAUUCCACAUUCUAUUCGGGCAUCAAAGAUUGGUGCUCAUGUCAUUUUCAAACAGAAGUAUGCCUAUCUUAUAUAUAAAGCACUUUUUGAAAAGGAAUUCAUUAUUGUAUUCUUUUUCCCACUUUCUUCAAGUGUUAGACCUUCAGUCGUUUUCUAACAAGGAAUUUGUUGAAAAAAUGGUGUGCAAACUGCAUCGGCUGCGUUUGAUGUAAAAGGGGGUGGUGUGUUUAGGACAUUCACAGCAGCUAAAUUUCCUUUUCUUCAAGAAAAGUGUUAACCAUGUGAAAUUGAAAGCCAACAACAACCUACAAUGCAAUGCACUAGAACGUUCAUGUUGAUGAUCCUUUACCCUGACAUGAUUUAAAGUUUCUCGAGCAAUAUAAUCUUUCACAGCGGGUAAAUCUUUACCCUUCUCUUCUUACUAAAAUUAUAGAAUGUUCUUGUGAAUUAUAGCCAAUACCAAAUAUAUAAGUAGUGAUUUUAAAUUUAGAAAUUAAUUAUAUUUUGACAAUUUUAUAUAAGGCAAAGUUUUUUUUUUUAUAGGGUGAUGAUAGAAAAAUUAACAAAUAAAUUAUCCUUAUUACCACCCUACAGAACCGUACAUGAUAUUUUCACCUCCACCGGUUAUCGUUCACUGCCGAUGGCACGGUUAAGUUUUUGAUGUUGCUGACGGCAGUGGCCGCGUCCAAGCUGUAGGAAUCAGUGGUAAGCGAGCCCUGGACACCAAAGUAGAGGCUGGCCUAUUACUUGUUGUCCCAACAUUCUUCGCGGUUGCUGGAAUUGCUGGCAAUGAAGGAAUGGAGUUUGUUUCUGUUCUCACAACUACAAUUUCGCACACCAUAAAUUCAGAAUAGAAAUGUCCGAUGAUCAUUUUUUUUAUGUGAGUAUUUUCACGUUCUUUUAAAAAGUAAAACUAGUUUUAUUCAGGAUUUGUAGCUACUCCUCCCAACAAGUAUGUUUUCUAGAGAUCAAACUUGUAUUUUUAUCCUUGCAAGAAUAUAAGGGUGUCUUAACCGCUAGACCAACACUUUAUUGAUAACCGAUUAAUUAUCAUUUGAUUAGUUCCUACAUUUUACAAAAUGAUUAAUUAAACUAUUGGUUAAAAAAAAUCAUAUUAAUUAGUCCUUGUAUUUUUACAUCUAUUCGUGACUUCAACCAUUGUUUCUAAUCAAAUUAAUUGACGUAGAAAUGUUGUCUUUAUUUUCUAAUCGAAUUAAUUCGAGGAGGAAUGUUUAUACAUCUUUUCAAGCAAGGUCUCUUCUAGUAAUUUGUACCAGUAAAUUAAAUUCUUGAUGAGUUUUGAUAUUUUAAUUUUUUUUUCUCAUGGCAGCCCUCCCAUUAAAUUUGAAAAAAAAAAAGAAUAAAUGUUUUAUGUAUCUCCUCCCUCGGUCGACCAGAAUACUAUAAAAAUGCAUAUCGAGGUGUUAGAUAGCAUGGCACCCUGAGCAUAAGGAAUAUGCAUUGUAGCCUCCGAAGAUUGCACCAUAGCAGUCUCUUUUAUUUUAAAAUGGAAUUUGUAAAAUCUUUUUUUUUUUUUUUUUAUUUCUUAUGAAGAACAACUUGCUCGAGUGCAUGUUGUUGUCUUCUCUUGUUGAGAUGUCCAAAUCAACGUGCAAACAAGCUGAAGGGCCUGCGUCAGCGCGGAUGGAUCUUCUCUAGCUUACCCUACCUCGCAAGGGCUGGCUUUCGCGCUAGGGCCCUAGAACUAGCAGCCCUCUGCUGUUAGCGCUUUCGUUUGGUUGUCCUUCACGUUUUGUUCUUUCCAUUCAAGCAAUCCUCUCGUAUUUUCUUUUUUCUCUCAAGAAAAAAUCAAGCAAUAUUGUAAUUCUAUUAAUUGCAACACUAAACUCAACAUAAAUAUUCAUUUCCAAGAAAGCUUAUAUGCUCUAAACAGGGGGGAGCAAGAAAAAAUAAUUAAGAAAAGUCAAAUUAAAAGAAUUAUUUUAGAAAAAUUAAAAUUUUAAUUAUUUUAUACUUGGAGGGGCUGGGGAUGAGGCCCUGCCAGCCCCCGCCUCCACCACUAGCUAUAAAUUUGAUUUUUAUUUGAUCAUAUUAAUUGAAUUUAUGAGCACUUAACUCAUUAAUCAACACAUAAAUUAAUAUUUCAAAAUAAAUGACGCUUAUAGAAAGCCUACUUUAAUUAAUGCGAACCCCUACAACAUGACUUUUUAUAUUUUGAAACUACUAAAAUAUAUAAUGGACAUGCAACAUUUAUUUUGUUAAUUAAUUGUUGUUCUAGAUAUUAAUAACCCGCCAACUAUCUUGACAACUCACCGACGUGACCCUUCAUAUUUCUUGUAAAAAUAUCAUAUUGUGAUUUUAUUAAUUGUAACGCUACAGUCGACAUGGAUAUUAUUACCCAAAAAUACUAAUUUCCUCUUUGUUCGAAAAUUACUUUUUAAUUUUUCAAUAUAUAUUUAUCAUUAGAAAAGUUAUGAAAAAAUCAUUAAAUUAGUAUGUAGAAGUUACAAAAGUUUCUAAAGCGCGUGUGCUAGCUGGUCAGGGUGUUCGCGUUAUUUGAAUGGCGUGUGAUGUAUUUUAAAUACAAAAGUUUCUAAAGCGCGUGUGCUAGCUGGUCAGGGUGUUCGCGUUAUUUGAAUGGCGUGUGAUGUGGCAAAAAACACUCUAGUUUCAUGAUCUUUUCUUUUCUUUUCUUUUCUUUUUUUCUAUCUCCCUCUAAAUUUUUGUGCUUGCCUUGCAGUUUUUUAAAGCAGCCUUUUAAUUUGUUCUUUCUUCAUAAUUGAUUCUUAUUCUUUUGAUUACUAUUUAUUUUAAUUGAAAUAAUUUAUCAAAUUUGAUUUUUUUUUUCAAUCUCAUCUUGCUUAAUUUUUUUUUUCAUCUAUCAUAUAUGGUUUUCAUUCUUUUAAUUGCUAUUUUUUAGUUUCUUAUUAUUACCUUGAUUUAUUUUAUUUUUCAAUUUCAUCCCUCGUUAUUUUAUUUUAUUUAUUUUUUAUACCAGAUUUAACCCUUAUUCUCUUGAUUUUUUUUUAUCUUUUUCUUUAUUUAUUUUAUUUUUUAAUUUCAAGCCUCAUUCUUUUAUUUUAUUUAAUUUUUAUACUAAAUUUAGUUUUUAUUUUUUAAUCGCUAUUUUUUUUGGAUGAUUGAGGAUUUUGUUUCAUAUUUUUUUUUAGUUUGUCUUCUAUAGGGUAACUCAAUUUCAUGAUCCAGGUCACGAAUUUAAAAGAUUGGCCUAAUUUGACUUUGCUCUUUUAAAGGUUUUUUUCAAAAAAAAAAUUCAAUUUUAUUCUUUCAUUGGAGUUAUCUCAUUCUCAUAUCCUGGGUAGCAGGUUAAUCAAGUUAACCUGAGUUAACUCAAAUUUUUUUAUUGAUUUUUUUUAUUUCACCUUUCACUAUUUAAUUUUCUUAAGAGUUGACCUCCAUUGUUUUUUUUAAUUUUUUAUGGAGUUAUCCCAACCUCAUAAUCAGUUCAUGAAUUUGGCAUGUUGACUCGAGUCAAGUCUUUUUAUCUUUUUUUUAAAAAAUAAUUUUUCCUUUAGCGUUUUAUUUUUUGGUAAUUGAUCUUUUGAUUUGUUUUAUUAUUCUCUUUAUGAGGUUAUUUCAUUCUGAUUCAAUUUUUUUAUUAUUAUCAAACGAGAGGCUGGGUUUUUAUUGAAUCUGGGUUCUCUAGUCUUUAGAUUUCUUUUGGAGGUUGGGUUUA
rnacentral:lncRNA from 1 species